rnacentral:rRNA from 1 species
AGAGUUUGAUCCUGGCUCAGGAUUAACGCUGGCGGUAUGCCUAACACAUGCAAGUCGAACGGAAUACUAAUUAAGAGAAAUCUCACACUAGUGAGAGGUUCUCACGAGUAGUAUUUAGUGGCGGACGGGUGAGUAACACGUUGGAACCUGCCCCGAAGUGGGGAAUAACUGCUCGAAAGAGUAGCUAAUACCCCAUAGUAUCCGGUUUAUCCGGAUUAAAGAUUUAUCGCUUCGGGAGGGGCCUGCGUCUGAUUAGCUAGUUGGUGAGGUAAAAGCUCACCAAGGCGACGAUCAGUAGCUGGUUCGAGAGGAUGACCAGCCACACUGGGACUGAGAUACGGCCCAGACUCCUACGGGAGGCAGCAGUGAGGAAUCUUCCACAAUGGCGCACGCCUGAUGGAGCAAUACCGCGUGCAGGAAGACGCUUUUCGGAGUGUAAACUGCUUUUGUCGUCGAAGAUUAUGACUGUAGACGAAGAAUAAGGACCGGCUAACUACGUG